rnacentral:misc_RNA from 1 species
CUAUUGGGCAGAAGGCUAACUUUUGCAUGACGGCAUAUCAACGAAUACAACGCAAAAGUGCCGCCCUCUCCGUUGUCAUCAGCUCUAAGUACCACAAAGACAUACUUGAACAAGGGGACCAAUGUGAGAGUCCAGAAAACAAAAGACAGAACACCAAAAAUCUCUUCAUUGGAGUCUGAAUGCUGGAUAUCUUCUGCAAAUGU